UACAGAGGUCUCAAGCGUUGUUCGGAUUCAUUGGGCGUAAAGGGCGCGUAGGCGGCGGGGUAAGUCGGGUGUGAAAUCUCAGAGCUCAACUCUGAAACUGCACUCGAUACUGCUCUGCUUGAGGACUGGAGAGGAGACUGGAAUUCACGGUGUAGCAGUGAAAUGCGUAGAUAUCGUGAGGAAGACCAGUGGCGAAGGCGGGUCCCUGGACAGUUCCUGACGCUGAGGCGCGAAGGCCAGGGGAGCAAACGGG
rnacentral:rRNA from 1 species